AGCAGCCGCGGUAAUUCCAGCUCCAAUAGCGUAUAUUAAAGUUGUUGCAGUUAAAAAGCUCGUAGUUGAAUUUCGGGGUUAGUAGGUUGGUCAUGCCUCUGGUAUGUACUGGUCUCACUGAUUCCUCCUUCCUGAUGAAUCUUAAUGCCAUUAAUUUGGUGUUUUGGGGAAUUUGGACUGUUACUUUGAAAAAAUUAGAGUGUUUAAAGCAAGCUAACGCUUGAAUACAUUAGCAUGGAAUAAUGAAAUAGGACGUUCGAUCCUAUUUUGUUGGUUUCUAGGAUUGACGUAAUGAUUAAUAGGGAUAGUUGGGGGCAUUAGUAUUCAAUUGUCAGAGGUGAAAUUCUUGGAUUUAUUGAAGACUAACUACUGCGAAAGCAUUUGCCAAGGAUGUUUUCAUUAAUCAAGAACGAAAGUUAGGGGAUCGAAGACGAUCAGAUACCGUCGUAGUCUUAACCAU
rnacentral:misc_RNA from 1 species